CGGACGGGUGAGUAACGCGUGAGAAUCUACCCUCAGGUCGGGGACAACCACUGGAAACGGUGGCUAAUACCGGAUGUGCCGAGAGGUGAAAGGCUUGCUGCCUGGGGAAGAGCUUGCGUCUGAUUAGCUAGUUGGUAGUGUAAGAGACUACCAAGGCGACGAUCAGUAGCUGGUCUGAGAGGAUGAUCAGCCACACUGGGACUGAGACACGGCCCAGACUCCUACGGGAGGCAGCAGUGGGGAAUUUUCCGCAAUGGGUGAAAGCCUGACGGAGCAAUACCGCGUGAGGGAGGAAGGCUCUUGGGUUGUAAACCUCUUUUCUCAGGGAAGAAAAAAAUGACGGUACCUGAGGAAUAAGCAUCGGCUAACUCCGUGCCAGCAGCCGCGGUAAUACGGAGGAUGCAAGCGUUAUCCGGAAUGAUUGGGCGUAAAGGGUCCGCAGGUGGCAUUGAAAGUCUGCUGUUAAAGAGUCUAGCUCAACUAGAUAAGAGCAGUGGAAACUACAAAGCUAGAGUUUGGUCGGGGCAGAAGGAAUUCCUGGUGUAGCGGUGAAAUGCGUAGAUAUCAGGAAGAACACCAGUGGCGAAGGCGUUCUGCUAGGCCGAGACUGACACUGAGGGACGAAAGCUAGGGGAGCGAAUGGGAUUAUAUACCCCAGUAGUC
rnacentral:rRNA from 1 species